rnacentral:lncRNA from 1 species
GGUCAUUCUAAUACAUUGGCUCUUAUUUCUCUGGCACUAUCAGUUUUUCUAUCCUUGCAGCUUCCAGCCUUUAUGGGUUCAUAGGCAGAAGUAAUGAAUGAGCAAUGUGAGCAGCAUCUUUCUUUACUCUCCCUGCCAACUUGGACUAUAUCCACAGGCUUCUAACUUUUAAGGGGUUUUAAUUUUCUAUGGCCAUGAAGAAAGUCAGAAGAUCUGGGCAACAAGUUCUGUGAGUCUACAGCUCACAGGAGGAGGAGUUUCAUCUUAGCUAUGAUUCAAAGAAGUCUGAAGGGUCAGGUCUGAGACACCUGUGUUCCUGGCUGAAGACAAUUACCAUUAGACUCUGUAAAUUCAGGACUUCAAGGUCCACAACUGCCAGUGGAUCAUCCUUCAUCAGCAUGGAAAAAAAAUCACUUUCUUCUCUCAGCUGAAGUUACCAAUGAACCUCUGAAGCCUGCUGAAACUUUUGGCGCAGCUUCCUACUUGAUCCUAUGAACCAGCACUAUGCUUAAUGUGCAACGCAGGUAGAGUGGACCCAAUUCCCUGCUGGUGUCAACUAGAGGCAGCCUUUUAUAUAGCGUUACAUUUACAUUAACCUCUCUGAACAUGCCCCAACAGGAGACUUGGCCCUUUACCCUCUGGAGCUUUUAAAGAAUUCACAUUAAUGAAAAUAGAAUAAGACAACAAGAACAUGAAAGAGCAGGUAGACUUAAC